GCAGCACAGCGUGUCACCAGAGAGGAAAAGAAUAUCCUUGCUGUGCCAAGAAAGAAAAGACCAUGGAUCUACUAGUUGCAGAUUUCAGCAGUAAUGCCAAGGGGGCAAGAAGUGACCAGCAGAACAAUUAGGCCAUGGCAACAGAAGCCAACUACAACCCAUGUUCCAAUCUAUGACCUCCCUCUCCUGCUGGUACAAGGAUAUGUAUUCCUUAGAGCAAAGGAUGCAAUGUCAAGCAAGUUGUGAUACCUCAACUAUCUACAAUUUAACACCAAGGAAAGAACACUGUUUGGAGAAAUGAGAAAGAUUAUCAUCAGUGUCUUUCAGAAGUCAUCAAAAGAAGAAAAGGAGAAAAGAGAGGAGAAAGCAGAAAGAUCUGGAGUCUGGGAAGUUCAAGAGCAUGGCACCAACAUCUGGCAAGGGCUUUCAUUCUGCAUCAUCUCAUGGAGGAAAAUAAAAAGGAGGCUGGAUGCUCCUGUGAAGUACGUCUUUUAUCUACUUGCUAUCUUUGCAAUUCCUUCAUGCUACAAUGAGAGAUAGAGUUUAAACCUGAAAACAUUCUUGGAAAAGGAAUCUUCAUUAAUUCAAAUAUACCACAAGGUUCUGCCACUGUGGCCAUCACCUGGGAUUGGAGAAAGGCAAAUGGAACAGACCAACUCAGAAUUACAGUCCUCAUUUAUUUCAUCAGAGAUUCACCACCAUCACUACUCUAAGUAUUUUUCUUCUUGAGAAAGAGAAGGAGAGGGAAAGCAAGGAAGAGGAAGAGAAAGAGAAAUGGAUAAAAACAUGGUCAAGUAGAAGAGUCUGUGAUUUCAGGUAAAUCCAGAUUUGGAGCUUAAAUGACUCAAAUGCUUUGCCUACAUUGAUCCUACAUUCAGGCUGCUUACAUAUCUCUUGGCUUCUCUGAGAACCAGAUUGUCACCACUUAAAGUGUCUUCCAGAGUCCUCACGAGUAUCAGAGAAGGCAUAAUCUGUACACGUGGCUUCAUUUAAAAUGAAAAUAUCAAGCAGUGUCAUUUUCACAAGUAUCCCCACACUGUCUGAGGCUGAAAAGAAGAGUGUAGCUAUGCACACUGCAGUGAGAAGAAAAUUUCAGCUCAAUUGGAGGAUGUAAAGAUUGAAAUACCACUGCUCCUAGUUCUGAUGCAAAAUUGAAAAGAGUGCACUGGGUCUUCAAAUGGCAUAUUGACAAGGAGAAAGAGGAAAGGAUGCCCCAGGACAGCCUGGGGGUCAAGGCUGGGCUCAGGCAUGCCUGGACAAGCCAUGCAAGUUGUCUCCGGACUUGAACCACGUAUCAGAGGAGCUAUUUGAGGAGCCACAUCAGCAUACCUGCUUCUGUGGGCCCCCAGGCUGUGGUGCUCAGCCCUUGCACUAUGAAACAUUUUUUUUUUCCAGAAGCCAAAGCUUUGAGCAUCUCCUCCCAUGUAGAGAGUGUAUAUGUUUACGUCCAUGUCUUUCGCCAUGUGAACGCAUGCAACCACCACCUCAAAUAUCAUAAAUCCUCUCUCUCCCCCUUUCUGUCUGCCUGUUUAUCUACAAUCUGUCUAUUUAAAUUCUUUUUAAACAAGAAGGGAAUAUCUUUAUGCCUGUUUGUAGGGAUAUUCUACAUCCAUCUGUUAUUUACAUCAUUCGUUUUCCUGAGGUGUCUCCAACAAAUCCUGGCUGGAUGCACUGUAUGUGUUAUUAAUAAAACAGCUGUAAAAA
ensembl:lncRNA LINC01539 long intergenic non-protein coding RNA 1539